AUCGAUCUAGAUCGUAGUUUUCUAAGUUUUUUUUUUAUCUGUUUAUCUAUUUGAUUCGUAGGGAUAAUCUUUGCGCAUAGGUUUAUGUUGCUGAUUUUGUUUGUGGACUUGUAUUUCUAAGGUGAUCUAAAUCUUUAAGGUUGUUUUUUUUAGGUUUUGGAGUUGACAAAUUUUUCUCUCGAAUGAAUUACUGUGUGUGGAUAUGCUCCUUCAUAGAGAGAUAGAAGGUAAGCACUAUGUAAAUCCUUUAUAUGUUUGUUUCAUCUUGAUUCGAUCUCUUGAGUAUUGCUAUUAGUUCGAAAUUGGGGAUAAGACAAAAGGGAGUGAUGAAACAUGAAUGUUGAUUGGAAAACUGAUUGCUGAGAAACAAAUUAAUAGGAGAGUAGUUGUUAGUGUCAUUCAAAAUACAUGGCCGACGAAGAGUAUAGUAGAUGUGAAGGAUUUAGGAUGGAAUAUGUUUGGAAUUUUGUUUGGGAGUGAAAAGGGAAUGAUGGAUAUUUUGAAUAAAGGUCCUUAGUUUGUAGUGGGAUACAUUUUAAGCCUAAAAAUUUGGAAGAAGCAUAUGAUUUUAGGGGAGAUUGAUUUCUCGAGAAUUGCUUUCUGGACUCAGGUGCACAAGCUUCCUUUGGAAUUGUAGACUGAAUAGAUGUAAAAGAUCUUAUAAAGGGGAAAGGAAUGGAUAGGUUUUUUUUUAGAAUAUUGGUGGAGUAUGAUGUAACAAGACCUUUGAUUGCUGGAUUUUGGUUUCCUAGGAAAAAAUGUGAUAGGUUAUGGGCUGAAGUGAGGUAUGACAGGUUGUUUGACAUGUGCUAUUAUUGUGAGAGGUUAGGGCACAUUAAUAGAAAUUGUUCUUUUAAGGAAUGUGGGGAUGGAGGAUUCAAGUAGGGGUAGGUUGGAUAGGAAAAGGUUUAGACCAUGGAUGAGGGCAGGGUUUGUGAGAGAGUGGUAGGGGAUUUAUAGUAAUAAUGGGAAAUGAUGAGGCUAAGAAGUCAAAGAGAGGUGAUGAGUGUGAGGAGAGAGGGCUGGUAUUAAUAAUAAGGUGAAGAGGGUGGAAACAAAGAUUUUUGAGGAAAAGUUAAUGUUAUGUGUAGAGAAGGGUGAAGACAAUAUAAGAAGGGAGGGUUGUAGUAAGGAGGGGUAAGAGAUAAGAGAGAAAUGGAAGGGGAAGAGUUUUGUAGAGUUAUUAGUUGGGGAAAUAGAUAAAUGGGUUGAAGGAAUAAUCAUUGGAGAUUAAGGGGUAAAUGGAGGGGAUAAGCUAAAAGAUUUAGGUAUUAGGGAAGGUAAGGCUAUGAGGGAUGAAUGUUGAGAGGGGGAAGGGUAAUAAGAGAAAAAGUGAAUGGAUUAAUUCAAUUAUAGUGACUGGAGUUGAGAGCAGUUGGGAAAUGGAUAUUAUGCGAAAGAGAUUAGAGAUAUCAUAUGAGGGUAACACACUUAUGAUAAGGUCAUUAGACGAGCAUUGAGUAGUUACUUUCGUAAUAGCAUGCCGUUGGGGAAAGCUUACUCACGAUACUAUAGUGAAUGAAAUCGUGACUAAAUGAGUUUAUAAUUAAUAGGCAAAAAGCCAGAACUUAAUUAUAAAUCAUUUGAGCCUCAACUACAUAUGUCGAAUCGGUCCUUCUGCUAGCUCGUUGAAACCAGAAAUGAAUUGCGUGUUUGAAUAGAAAUGAACGGAAUGAAUAGGGAAAGAGAAAUGAGAAACAUUCAAGAAUGAUUAAGGUUUUCUUCGAAAUGGAGAAAUAGAAUCAUUUGGAAAUGAAUGUAGGUUUUCAAAAAUGGAAAUGGAAAUGAUCCAUUUGCAAUCCUAUAUGGAUUACUUAAAAAAUUAUUGGAAGAAUGAGUUUAUAUUUUUGGACUGUUUUGAAGCUCGAAAAUGAAAAUAAACCAUUCGAUCAUAGUGACCAUGUUGAGUUGUGAAAUAUUGAACAUAUUUUCUCAAAAUUUUACUAGGGGAAAAAUCAUCAAAAUUUUACCAAGGGUAAAAUCAUCAAAAGUUUAUUGGGAUAAAAUAGGGAAGAGAAAUUUGUUUUAUAUAUAAAUAUUAAAGUUUAUUUGGGGAAAUAGAAAAAUUGAAUCGGGUUGGAUCACAUUACAGGGUAUUGGUCAAAAAGGCCCAAGAAGUACUCGUAAUUGGACACGAUGUAGGAGAGGUCUAAAAACCCCUCAUGGACAUGAAAGGGGCGCAACCCUAGUAGGAAUACUAGGGUGUGUCGUCCACCUUAGUCUUAUUCUAAAUAGGACGUUUUUUCUUUUUGAAAUAAACCACUACAACUUAACAAGGGUUCUACCUUCUUUUCCAAUAAAUAGAUGGUACCGGUAGAGCUAUUAACACAACUUUGAGUGAUUGUUAUUCUGCCAAAAAAUAUGGAGAAUUUAUUCUCAACUAUUACAUAUAUAUAUUUUUAGAAUAACAAUUCUACUAGUUUCUAUUAAUAAGAGAGAAUUUUUGUUUUCACUCUAAAAGGAGAGAAAACUUUUUCUAGUUCUGUGUUUCAAUUCAAUUGGUUCGAGCCCACACUUGAAGCAAUUCAUGUUAUGAGAAUAUCGGAGAAGAUCGUUUGGUUGAAAGUCGAGAACAAUGAAUUUUCGCUAAGCCGAAAAGAUAGGUACGAAUUUGGUUAAGGUUUAUUGUUAUAAAUAUCACAAACUAGGUCAGUUUUCAAAAUUUUAAUUUUUCUCUGUGCAAGAAAAUCAUUUUCAAACCAAAAUUUCUCCAACAUUUAGAGGGUGAAGAAAUGACGAUUUGUUGGUGAGGUGAGAGUUUAAAUGAGAAUAAAGGGUUUGUAAUGAAUAUAAGGGUGAUUAAUUGUCACACCUCGAAAUUGGGGUUAGAAUGAUUAAGGUUUGCAGGUUUAGUCAGAGGUUACAGUUAGAUGUUUAAGUUUAACCUUGUGUUUUGGAGAUAAAAUGAGUCUGCUGAUUCAGUGGUAAGGAGUGAGCUUUUCCUUAGGUCUCGUGUUCGAAUCCUUAUGUGCGUUAAGUGGAAAUUAUUUUAUUUUUGGUUUCAACUUUUAAAAAAAAGUCUGAUAGGUUAAAGUUUUCUUAAAUUUUAUCUUAUCAUUUUUAUUUUUAAUUUUUGAAAAAGAAAGUGCCCACAUUUUUCUCUCAUGUUUUACCACUUCUCUAUAUGUCAGUUUCAUUUUCUUUUUCCCAAUUUUAAGAUUUUUGAUCCUUUUGCCACUAUACUUUCUUUUUCCCACCAUUUUUCUUUGAAGUUCUUAUUUGAUUCAUUAGUUUUUCUUUUGUUCGUUGUUGGUAUAUGCGUACAUUUAAGAAAAACUUGUGUUGUUUUUAUUUUGCACUUAAAUUUUUGCCUUUCUCGUUUCUUUAGAAUCUUGAGUGCUUUUCCGUAUUUUCACUCAACAAGGAUACGAAACAGGUUUAGUGUAAGUGUUGCUUUCUUGAGUUUUUAAUUGUUUCUUUGAUUCUCUUGUAUGGAUUAGACCAAAAUUCUUAUAGGUUUAGUAUGUGAAAAUUGAGUUUUCAAGUCGGUAGGGUAAAGGCGAAUUAGUUGAUUUCUGGUGCUUGGAAUCGCGUUUUAAGGUGUGUUUCUUAAACACUAGUAAUUAUGGGUGUUUUUAGGCUAAUUUUCCUGAUUUUCAGCAGGAUUUGGUAUGGUUUUUGGACCACACGGUUGUGUGUCGUUUCAAAAGCUAGGGUAAUUUUCGAGUCAUAGGGCCUGAAGUGAGUUACACGGGCUGGCCACAAGCUGUGUGACCACUGUUGGAGGUUUUGUUGAUUGCACACGACCUUGGAGGCUUCCACACGGCCUGAGACUCGACCGUGUCUCCCUCGCUCCUUAUUGUAAAAUUUUUUCACGGGCUCAAAGAGUUAUACGGUCAACCCACAAGACCAUGUCUCUCAGCCACAUGACCAUGUACCCUUGUCACACAGUCUGAACCUUCCUACACGACCAUGUGGUCUUUUUUUUUAAAGUUUUUUUUCUCUAUUUUGCAAAUUGAUUUGUUUUAGUCCCUGAGUGAUUUCUUACAUGUUUAAGCCUCUGUAGAAGGGUUUGAGACACUAAUUCUGAUUGUAGGAAGUCCAUAAAAGGUGUAUUAUUGUUGGAUUAUGUUAUAUAUGUAUUAAUUAGAUUUAAUUUUGAUAUUUGUUUGUGUUCUUAAUAUAACUUUGCUAUGAUAUUUUUUUAUUUAUGAGAUGGUACUCUGUAUGUGAAUCAGUAUCUGCAUACGCUGUUGACUUUGAUAAUUUAUGUCAAUUGUAUCUUGUGGAGUACUGGAAAUUGAAUAUGAGUAUGUCUAUCUCGAUAUAUCUGUAUGUUUUGAGAGUAGUGUAUAUGCAUUAUGGUUGGGAUUGAUAUUGAAGAGAAGGAAGUUCAUUUUGGCAGUUAAAUUUCAUUUUUAUAAGUUGGUGGUAAAACUGCAAUAGUGAUUAGCAACUUGACUGCUUUACAUUUAAGUGGCUUGACCACCUCAAGGUGUGAUUUGGUUGGAUGGGUCCACCAUAACCCAAUAUUGGUGUGUAGAGGUUAGAAAGGGUCUAGCAUACCCUUAUUAGUGUGAAAUGGAUGAUGGAGUUGGUGUGUAGCGGUUGGAUAGGUAGGACUUUGCACCAUAUUACUUAUGAAUACGUUUUGCAUAUCUGUUUAGUGAUAAAAUAAUAUGAUUCGCUAAUCUGGUAUAAUCUCUGUUUCUGGUUUGAUUAUGGUAAUUGUAAAUUUGAUUGAUUGUUUGUUGUUACGUCGUUACUUUUGUUUAAGACUCACACUAAGUUUCGUAGCUCACCUUCUUAGUUUACUCUUUUCAGGUAAUCAACGAGGUUAGAUUUUGGACUCAACGAAUUGGAGGUCUCAAAGUUUCUCGUUUCGGCUUGGUUUUUAAUUAAGUCCUCAUAAAGUUUGAUAAUAUGUUUUCGGCCAGAUUUGUAAAUAAUUUUUAUAUGAACAGUAGUAUGGUUUUCUUUGGUUUUGAACUAAAUUCGUGAUUUCAUGCAUGGGUUUAAGUUAACUGAAAUGUUAUCUUCAUUAAUAAUAACUCAAUUUUUAGGUAACUGUUUAUGGUUUUCAAACAAGAUAAAAUGUUAUAAUAUUACG
rnacentral:lncRNA from 1 species